ensembl:lncRNA
AUUUAUUCUAAAGUCAUAUUAAACAAUGGCCAAUAAUUCAGCUCUUAUCUUAUUUACUGUCUCAAUUGUACCUAGCUGUUAUUGAACCAAAUUUACAAGCUUGGACUAUAUAUUUUGCAUCAGAAUUAUUGCAACAAGUUUGACAACAUAAUACAAUAUUAGUGGUAUAAAAAUGCCUGGAAUUUGGUCUCCCUCCUUUCACAGUUUAGUAUUGUAAGAAUUUAUCUUCUUUUCAGAUUAACUCUUUGUACCUGUAUAAUACACACAAGUCUCUCCUUUUGAACAAGAAUGCUGGAUCUCCUUCUCUGACUUUGCUUGAUGGUACAUCUAGAUGGACUGGUAAAAAUGGAGCACUGCCAAGCAAACCCCAAGAAAAUGUCCAGCCUCAACAUGAAGUUUUACUGGCUUCUGAGGAAGUGAGUGGUGUCAGCAAAGAAUACCAAGUGUGAAAAAGACAUUUUGGAUCGUGUUUACAGGGCCCUUGGAUGCACUUACUGUUUUAGAGGUAUGAGUUUAACUAUUGUUAAAGUCUUUUGAUUAG